rnacentral:rRNA from 1 species
AAAGUUAGUGGCGGACGGGUGAGUAACACGUGGGCAACCUGCCUGUAAGUUGGGGAUAACUCCGGGAAACCGGGGCUAAUACCGAAUGAUAAAGUGUGGCGCAUGCCACGCUUUUGAAAGAUGGUUUCGGCUAUCGCUUACAGAUGGGCCCGCGGUGCAUUAGCUAGUUGGUAGGGUAAUGGCCUACCAAGGCAACGAUGCAUAGCCGACCUGAGAGGGUGAUCGGCCACACUGGGACUGAGACACGGCCCAGACUCCUACGGGAGGCAGCAGUAGGGAAUCUUCCGCAAUGGACGAAAGUCUGACGGAGCAACGCCGCGUGUAUGA